GACGAAGGAUGCAGCGUUAUCCGGAUUCAUUGGGUUUAAAGGGAGCGUAGGUGGCCUGCUAAGUCAGUGGUGAAAUCUUCUCGCUUAACGAGAAAACUGCCAUUGAUACUGGUGGGCUUGAGUACAGAUGCCGUUGGCGGAAUAUGACAUGUAGUGGUGAAAUACAUAGAGAUGUCAUAGAACACCGAUUGCGAAGGCAGCUGACGAAACUGUAACUGACACUGAGGCUCGAAAGUGCGGGGAUCAAACAGG
rnacentral:rRNA from 1 species